GUGCAUGAUGAUCUCCUCUUAGUGCCAUCGUGUCUGGGCCACUGAUGCUCCGUGAUGGAACUGAGGAUCUGAGCAG
rnacentral:snoRNA from 1 species